rnacentral:tRNA from 1 species
AAAAACCUGUAAGACUCUCUUACAUAAACUGAAUGCAAAUCAGACACUUUUUUUAAAUUAAGGCUUU